GACGAACGCUGGCGGCGUGCUUAACACAUGCAAGUCGAACGGAAAGGCCCUUCUGUUGUGGGGUGCUCGAGUGGCGAACGGGUGAGUAACACGUGAGUAACCUGCCCUUGACUUUGGGAUAACUUCAGGAAACUGGGGCUAAUACCGGAUAGGAGCUCCGGCUGCAUUGUGGGUGUUGGAAAGUUUCGGCGGUUGGGGAUGGACUCGCGGCUUAUCAGCUUGUUGGUGGGGUAGUGGCUUACCAAGGCUUUGACGGGUAGCCGGCCUGAGUGGGUGACCGGCGACAUUGGGACUGAGAUACGGCGCAGACUCCUACGGGAGGCAGCAGUAGGGAAUAUUGCACAAUGGGAGGAAGCCUGAUGCAGCAACGCCGCGUGCGGGAUGACGGCCCUCGGGUUGUAAACCGCUUUCGCCUGUGACGAAGCGUGAGUGACGGUAAUGAGUAAAGAAGCACCGGCUAAAUACGUG
rnacentral:rRNA from 1 species